UACGUAGGGCGCAAGCGUUGUCCGGAAUUAUUGGGCGUAAAGAGCGCGUAGGCGGCUCAUACAGUCAGAUGUGAAAUUCCUGGGCUUAACCUGGGGGCUGCAUUUGAUACGUGUGGGCUUGAGUGGGGAAGAGGGUCGUGGAAUUCCCAGUGUAGAGGUGAAAUUCGUAGAUAUUGGGAAGAACACCGGUGGCGAAGGCGGCGACCUGGUCCUUGACUGACGCUGAGGCGCGAAAGCGUGGGGGAGCAAACAGG
rnacentral:rRNA from 1 species